rnacentral:rRNA from 1 species
CCUACGGGAGGCUGCAGUGGGGAAUAUUGGGCAAUGGGCGCAAGCCUGACCCAGCCACGUCGCGUGAAGGAAGAAGGCCUUCGGGUUUUAAACUCCUUUUAAGAGGGAAGAGCAGAAGACGGUACCUCUUGAAUAAGCCACGGCUAACUACGUGCCAGCAGCUGCGGUAAUACGUAGGUGGCAAGCGUUGUCCGGAUUUACGGGGUGUAAAGGGCGUGCAGGCGGGAAGACAAGUCAGAUGUGAAAUUCCGCGGCUCAACCGCGGAACUGCAUUUGAAACUGUUUUUCUUGAGUACCGGAGAGGUAGUCGGAAUUCCGUGUGUAGCGGUGAAAUGCGUAGAUAUAAGGAAGAACACCAGUGGCGAAGGCGGAUGACUGGAGGGCAACUGACGGUGAGGCGCGAAAGCGUGGGGAGCGAACAGGAUUAGAUACCCGGGUAGUC